rnacentral:rRNA from 1 species
UGGUGGAGUGAUAUGUCUGGUUAAUUCCGUUAACGAACGAGACCCCUGCCUGCUAAAUAGUCUGGCGAGUGAUCUUCACUGGCUGUGGCUUCUUAGAGGGACGUGCAUUCGACUAGUUGCAGGAAGAUAGGGGCAAUAACA